AGCUCCUCCUCCCUGCAGGUCACACAGAGAAAAUGAAACUAGCUGUGGCUCUUCUGCUUUGCAGGAAGCUCCUUGUUACUCUCCCUUGGCCGGUUACUCUCCCUUGGCCACAGCGGCAGCUAGACCGUCCCCAGAGCCGUGGCCGGAGCUGGCUGUGCAUCCGCUCUCAAUGCAGGUGAUGGAGGAAGAAUUUCAGUUCCUGCUCUGCCAGGGGUGCCAGAAAGAACCCAGGAAUCCCAAGCUCCUGUCCUGCCUUCACACUUUGUGCACCGACUGCCUGGAAGAGAACAAGCCCGUUGGCCAGUGCCCCAUCUGCCAGGCUCCCAUCCCACAAGCCAGCGGGAUCCCAGACCAGGACAACCUGCUCUUUGCCAAUCUGCAGGCCAAGCUGAGCACCUACCAGAAGAUUGUCAGCAGCAGCGACUUGGUCUGUGACCGCUGCAGAGAUCUGGCUGAGUUUUGGUGCUCUGAGUGUGAGGAGUUCUUUUGCAUCAGAUGCUUUGAGGCCCACCAGUGGUUCUCAAAGAAGAAAAGCCACGAAACCAGGAAGGUGAGGGAGCUGAAGGCAGAAUCUGCCAAACAGUUUCUGGAGGGAGCAAGAAAGUCCAGAAUCCUCUUCUGUUCCAAUCCCACCCACAAUGACCAGAACUACAUUACAAGUAGUAUCUACUGCAGAGGAUGUUUCAAGCCUCUCUGUUGUUCCUGUGCGCUCCUGGAUAGUGAGCACUCAAAACUCUACUGCAACAUCCAGACGGAAAUCGAGCGGCGGCAGGAGGAGCUGGGGAGCCUGAGCGAAGAGCUGAAGAGGAAGAAGGCCCACUUUGAAGAUGUCUAUAAAAGCCUGAAGGGCAAAGCUGACCACUUGGACCGGGUGAGGACUGAAAACCAGGAGCUGAUCCAAAAGAGCAUCCAACACAUGGUGAAGUUGAUCCAAGAGAAGGAGCAGGAGCUGCUGGAGAUGGUGGAAAGACAGCACCGCCUGGGGAAUGAGGACCUAGAGGGGAAGCUGAAGCAGAUGGAAGCUGUGCUCAAAAGGAUGGGGGCCAGUGAGCAGCUAGUGGAGAAGAUGCAUCUCUAUGCAUCAGACCAGGAAGUGAUGGACAUGCACCCCUUCAUCAAAGGAUCCUUAGAGGAGCUCAUGAAGCUGCAGCCUCUGGCAGUGGGUGCCAGUGUCCAGGCUGGAGACUUCGCCGAGUGUAAAGCCAAACUCCAGGCUCUGUUUGAAAGAGUGACUGGGGAGAGAGAUGCUGCCUCCUGCGCUGCCCGAGUAGCUCCAAUGACUGAGGUAUCUUCACCUAAGGACUUGCCAGGGGAGUUCACUCAGCUUAGGACUCAAGAGCAGCACCCGGUUCCCAUGCUUACUGGCAACAUCCAGGAGGCGCACCUGGGCAUGGCCUCCCCAGGGAAGAGGAAACCAGGCCAAGCUGAAAAGGCCGUCCAGACACCUCUCAAGGUGCUAAAGCUUGAAUCUCAGCCCAAGAUGCUGGAGAGAAACCCCAGCAAGUGCGACCAGGGCUUGCUAGACUUGGACCUGCAGCCUGGACCCAGCACCUCAACACCCAGCAGAAACUGUGGAGGGGCUCCUGCAGCGAGGAGAGCUGUGCUCUCUCAGGAGCUGGGAAACGCCCACUCUGAGCCCGGAGAUCAAGAAGACUCCAGCAUCGUGAUAAGCAGUUCCGAAGAUACGGACGAAGACACGGUGCUCUCCAGCAUGCUAGAGGGCAGCAAGGACUCCUCCUCAUACCUGCCAUUCGAAUGGGAAAGCAGCGUGCCAGGCUCUGGGGUCGUGGCCAGCACUGGCUUUGGGGGAAGCACGCUGGUGUUCUUCGACAUGAAGGUCAACAAAGACACACAGAUGAUCACUCAGCUGGCUGCAGUGAAUGGAGAAAACAGCUUUAAGGCUGUGAUACAAAUCCCAGAGUCUGUGCUCGGUUUGAUUUCCCAAGGUGUCUCCCUUGAGACAGGGCUAGAGAACUUUCUCUGCUACCUCCGCUCUGUUCCCAAGCCCAUCUUAGUUGUAUAUAACUUCUGGACGUCGGAGCUCACUGUUCUCUUUAAAGCCUUGGAUUCUUUUGCCAAGAAAUGGGACUUCUGCACAAGUGUCUGUGGUUACCUGGAUACCAUGCCCUUGAUUAAGGAAAAGAUUCCCAUGUUUGGUCUUUAUAAAAUGAAGAACCUGGUGAGAACAUACCUGCAGAAGCCACUGAACGACAGCAGCGCUCUGGCAUCGGCGAAGGCCCUAAGGGAUCUGUGUAAACUUCUGGAGAUCCACACAGAUUUAAAUCCGAGGCCUGCACUCUCUCAUUGCAACCUGGAAUCUUACACUUCCCUUCAGCCUUUGUUGCAGGAGAAAUUGCUCACCAGGUCUGCUGCAAAGACUCUGGCAAUGCGCAGUAUGGUCCUCUGUGAACUGCAGGAGUCAUAGCAGUAGAUAGGGCUGCCAGUGACUUCAGGUCUCUCCAUGAUCAGCCUGAAGGUUUGAAUGAUAAGUUAUAUUAUUAUUACGUGCUGCUGCUGACGGUCGACCUGCUUCUGCUGGUGCCGUCAAUUGCCAGUGUAUCUGUGCUUUGGAUAAUCGAGCUCUGUAUUUCCGAUGGACACCUGGGAGGAAGCUGCUAAACAGCUCUCCCUUUUCCUAGCAAGAGUGCAACAAGCUGCAGCGUGAGGCCGUUACUGAGCUACCUCUCUUUAGGUGCUUUUAGCUUGUCAGUCACCAGACUGUCCCAGUGCUCUAUCUGUCAUGUAUGAUUAAACUACUUUUAAAACUAAGAGAGUCUCUAAGGUGUUCCUGGUUGGAAUCUAACCCACGUCACAACUGUAGAGAGGCCUAUUUGCUACACACGCCUUUGGAAUUCUGGCUUCUUGCCCUAAACAUGACUCUCUGAAAUUAACAAGCAUCUGAUAAGAGAUUUACUAUCCCAAGUUAGGUUUUUCUAGUGUCUGUCCUGCUCCACAAGUCAGACUCUGCUCAGUUACAGAGGUAUAAAUCCUGAUCAGUUCCACUAAAGAUCUAUGCAGUUAUUGAAUUCCUCUGAUACAAACAAGAGCAGAAUGUGGGCCACACUCACUUGCUUAAAGAGGAAGGAUGGUGUGUGUGGAGGCAUUGCAUGGGGACUCAGGAGACCAGGCUUCAGUUCCUGAUUCAGCCACAGACUGUCUGUAUGACCUUGGGAAAGUCGUUUGAUCUCGCAAAUCCCCAGCUGUGAAAUGGGGAAUAAUGAGCUGUCCUCUCUCUGUCGUGACUAUUUAGACUGGAAGCUCUUUGGGGCAGAGGCUGUCUCAGUGUGUAUGUACAGCACCCAGUAUAAUGGGGCCUGCGUCUCAGUUAGAGCCUCUAGGCACUACCUUAAUGCAAAUCAUACUGCUCUCUAACAAAAAGCUACUUUCUUUUUGUGUGGGUGGUAUAGUGGUGAGCAUAGCUGCCUUCCAAGCCGCUGACCUGGAUUCGUUUCUCAGCCAACACAAUGAUGGCUUUGGAUGAUUUAGUUGGGGAUUCGGGUGAUUUAGUUGGGCAUUGGUCCUGCUUUGGGCAGGGGGUUGGAUGAGAUGACCUCCUGAGGUCCCUUCCAACCCUGAUAUUCUAUGAUUGAAAAGGACAGGAAGCUAGGCAGGAUGGUCUGCAGGACUGCAGUCAGGAAUCCUCUUCCUGGGAGAAUAUAGCACUGUAAGGAGAUCACAUCCAGCAGGAAUCUUACAGCAGCGCAGGACAGUGAGGUACCCUGGAGGAGUGUUUUCAUCCUAGCCACCAUUCAGCCCCACUGGCCAGUUUGAUCGCUAACAAGUUGGUCGGGAGUUUAGUGCUCCAAGGGGAAUUCCAGUUGACAGCGUCACAGAGAUUCCAGUCACGGUAGUCACAGACAAGAGGAAGUCGCUAACCACACCAGAGUUAGCAUGUGAAGAAGUCACUGUCCUGUGGCCUUAGUAUCAAGGAGAUCACAACCUGGCCAACUUGCUCAUUGCACAAGUCUUGCUGGAGUCCAGGCCUGCCCCCUUCCUAUCCCUAAUGCCAUUGGGGGCAGCCUAUCCCGGAUGGAACUAUGGGGCCCAACCCUGCCCCUUAUGAUGCCAAUGGCCCCAGUCCUACUCCAGAACCAGCAGUCUUUGCUAUUCAUCAGUAGUCACUGAAGAGUCUGGACAAAGACAUUUCAGAUCAUGGAUUGUUCACCAACGCUUCAUGUUGACUGGUCACUGUUAAUGAUUCCUGCUGUAUGAUUUGUCGCCUAAACCAUAUGCUCUCAUUUGCACUCCCUGAGUAGACAACUGAAACUAGUAAAAUACCAAGUAAGGAACUGCCGUCUUUCCAGCACUGUUUUUCAGACACCACAAUUCAUUAGAGUGGAAAGUUCAGGGCCAUCAGGAUUCACAAACAUUUUCACAGACACAGUUUUUCACAUCCUCACAGUCAACAAACCCAGCUUGGCUGUCAGGAGGGACGGGGGAGCAGGAGCAGAGUGAGUUCCCUGGAGGGGAGGCAGUGGGAACCUGCUGGGGAACAGGAGCCUCUGGAGUGAGAGUGCUGGGAGGUGGUGCUCACCUAAGAGCGGACAGAAGAAUCCUGCAGCAGGCCCUGAAGCAGGAAGGACUGAAGGGGGCUGGGAGCUGCAGCCCAGGCUGGGCUGAGGAACUGUUUUGGUGUUUUGCCUACAUGUGAAAAAGACAGCUGAGCCUAGAAAGAGAUUCUGGAUGCAACUGCAUAGAAAACAGAUCAGGUUGUGAACAUUACCUCAGCAUCUGGUUUGUGUGGGUUGGAUUGGCACAGGGCAAGUUACUGAGCUUCCUGGAACCAUCAAGAAACAUCCUGGCAGAUCCCACCUUGAGAUCCUUCACCACCUUGGCUUCAUGGCUCUCUCACUUUAGAUACCUCUGGUGGGUCUCAAACCACUUGAUGCAAGGGCACUUCUCACAAUCAGAGCACCAGAACUCUCCCCCUUGCCCACAGUUGUCACAGACCAGGUCACUACCUUUGACAGUUAUCUGGUAGGUGCUCAGCUUGGCCUGCAGAUUGGCGAAGAGCAGGUUGUGCUGGUCUGGGAUCCCACUGGCUUGUGGGAUGGGAGUGUGGCAGAUGGUGCACUGGCCCAUGGGCUUGUUCACUUCCAGACAGUUGGUGCACAAGGUGUGAAGGCAGAACAGGAGCUUGUGAUUUCUGGGUUCUUUCUGGCAUCCCUGGCAGAGCAGAAAAUGGAAUUCUUCCUCCAUUGCCUUUGGGAACGAGAGAGAGACCAUGGAACUCCCCCUCACCUGCAUUUUCAGCCAACUCUACUAAUGAGCAGCUCUAUGUGUAGGGUCAGCGAUGCCUGGGAGGGGCAAGAAGGGUCACAUGCCCCUCCCCAGAUUUCGGGUGGGGGCAGGGGGGACACAUUCAGCACAGAACAGCAGUGGUGAAAGGAGCAGAAUGUGGGGCAGCCGACAGUUCCUCUGGCAUGGCUGUACUGCCCCCAGCCCUUCCACGCAGCUGUGUCUCCUGGCUGGGGUCUGUACAGCCCCACUAGAGGACAGGGCUGGGGCGGGGCUGCGGGCAGUACUGGUACAGCUGCACCGGAGGAGCUGCUGGUUUGGGGCUGCCGCUCCCAGGAGCCAGUGCCACUCACCGGCAGCUGCUCCGGUGCAGCUGUACCAGUACAGCCCCCAGCCCCAUCCUCCGGUGGGGUGUACAGACCCAGCCAGGUGACACAAACCGGUAUCUGGCACAACGGGAGGACAGACUCCCCCCUCCCCCAGGUAACCUGGGAUGGGGAGGGCAUGGGGAGAGUGCGGGGGCCCAGGGCUGGGGACAGGGUGGAAUCAUGAGGGGCGGUCAUGUGGGGAGGUCACAUACCGCCCUUUAGCUGGUGCCCGCCAUUUAGUCCCUCCCAUGAGUCACCUAUCCCACCAAAGUGCCCCCCAAACACGGGGAGAAUAAAUGGCAGUGACUUGCAGUGAGAUCUAUGAAGUAGGUGCUCCAGGCACCACUCGGAAGUAUGAUGUUGAGCUGGUAGGAAGCUCUGACUGAGCCAACCAAGAACUCAGACAAGAACAGCUCCAGAGCUGACAGCAACUCCUCAGGGCUAGGUUUCUUCCUGCUGCUGCUGCUACUGGUGGUGGUGAUGGUAGGAGCUGGUUGUUCUCCCUCAUUCACUGUCACCACGCUGUCUGCUGGGGACAAAGGUGUCAAGAAUGGUUUGGGGGCACCAGGCUGAUUGAGAUGAAGUUAGCUGUCAGCACAGGAGUGGCAGGGAACCACAAGCCACUGUCCAGUAAAGCUCUGAUGAGCGGUUAGAAAGGAGUCCCCUAGUCCUUCCUGUCCAUCCAUCCUCUAUUGGCCACCUGUAUAGUAUGCGAACCCCCAUUGUAUCUGGGUAUUAUAUUAACCUGCUACAACAUAAAAACAGAGAAGAGAGGUAUUGUGAGUCCUGUCCUGAGAGUUGGGAUGAUCCAGUGGUUAGGGUACUAGUCUGGGACUUUGAAGACUCAGGUUCAGUCUCCUACUCUGCCAGAGGUUUCCUGUGUGACCUUGGACAAGUCCCUUAACCUGUCUGUGCCUCUGUAUACUGGGUAUAAGAGCACUGCCCUACCUCCGAGGAGGGCUGUGAGGCUAAAUACAAUAGAGAUUGUGAGGUGCCCGUAUACUAGUGGGAGAGUCUGAGAAGUACCUAAAAUAGACAGUCCUCAUUUAAUCUCUUCUUCCUGUCCUGGUGACCAUGAAAGAGAGAUUUGGCAACACUCACUGCACAGCAGCAUCAGAGAUAACAGUUAUCUCCCUCUGCUCACAGUCUCAGCUGCCACUCUGAGUUCACUGCUGGCAACAGACGAGCUGCUGCUGGGAAAGGGCAGGCAUUCUCUGGGAAGAGGGAGGAGUGUUGGAGGCUGCAGAGAUGCACAGGUUGCAGUCGCUCCCAGGGAGGAGGGUUUGGAGCUGGUACACCCAGGGCCAGGAGGGGAACCAGGGUGGUAGGUAGCAGUACCGGGAAAGAGCAGUGAGGGCUGGGGAGAGGACAGCCCAGAGCAGAGCACGGGCCAGGUACCCCUACCGGCCACUGAGGGAGUGGCCCCUGCGGCAGUGAAUGGGAAGACUGCCUGGGGCUGCUGAAGGACAGACUUUGAUAUACCCCAGAAGUGGGGAACACUGAGCAACACAGCUGGAGGGCUGACUCACAAAGAGGAUGCUGUAGUUCCUGGGACGGAAAGGAGCUACGGACUGAGAGACGACAUGUGCCCACAGGAAGGGACGUUGGUUUUGAGCGCUAAUUCCCAGAGUGAUCAGGAAGAGGCACCAGACAAGUGGAGAACGGUGCACCCUGUGACACCCUUCCAUGGCAUGGGGCCAGGGAUCCAGCAUCGGGGUGGGGCUAUGGGGGGGGGGGGGGUUGCCUUAAUACAGGCAGUGCACAGCACAUGGGGCGGAGGUUCCAGUGAUUGAGCGCAGCAGGACACCGAGCAAAUGCAGACUCCUGGCAUCCCCGGGUGGAUGGAGGGAUUGUCUCAGCUGCUGCAUGAGCUCUCGUGGAGGGAAGGCCACUUGGCCUGGUGCCCCGGGGCACGUCCCCCUGCAGGGCUGCCAGCCAUCUCAUGUGAUGCCCCUGCCACACCUGCUCUCAACUGCGUCUCGCUGCCAGCUGAGCUGCAGGGAUCGCUCCACUGUGUCUCUUGCCCAUGGUCAGUCAGCAGAGCAGCACUGGGCAGAGAGGCCCAUGACCUCCACUCCUGCUGCUCCCGUGCUGGGUUGGCCCAAUGGGGAACAGCCACGGGGAGAGGGACCGAGGGUGGGGGGUGGCGGCGGCUGUAGCCAGCUGCUUCAGUGCCCCCUUACGCUAGCUUUUCAGGGAGAGAGCCUGGGGUGCUGGGGGAGAGGGGGGUGCAGAGACUGAGGUGGGGCAGAAUGGGGGUCAGGGUCUGUAAUGGACAGGGACAGAAUGAGGAGAAUAAUGGGAAGCAGGGACUGCUCCAGGAUUUCCUACCCCCCCAGCUGAUUUCUCCUCCCCUGCCCCCAGCAAUCGUCCCACCCCCUCGGAAUGCCCCAUGCUCUUCCCAGCCCUGUCUCUCAAUUGCCCCAUUCCCCCAGUCUCUCAAUCCCUGCCCCGUGCUCCCCCGACAUGGGGGCGGGGGGGCAGACCCUGAUAGGGCACAGCGAUCCGUUCUCAUUGCUACACCUGGGGCUGCCUGGCAAAGGCGUGGAGAGGAUGGGCAGGGGGCACAUCAGGGCCUUGCAGACCUCACUGCAUCCAGCGGCUGGUACCAUUCUGGCUCCAUUAGGGACCAGCCUCCUUCUCAUUGAACACAUUGGCAUCCCGGGCACCAGCCUGGCCACCUACAUGCUCCAGCUGCUGGUUUGGGGCAUGCUGCUCCAGCUCCUCCCCAGGGCCCCGCCCCUACUCCCCUCAAGAUUGCAGCCAGGUCCGACCCUGCGCUCACCCCGUGUAUCUACUGCAGAGGAUGUUUAAAGUCUCUCUUCUGUUCCUCCGCACUCCUGGAUAGUGAGCACUCAAAACUCUAUUAAAACUCUACAAAACUCUACUCUCCUGCAACAUCCAGACGGAAAUUGAGCAGCGGCAGGAGGAGCUGGGGAGCCUGAACAAAGAGCUGACGAGGAAGAAGGCCCACUUUGAAGAUGUCUGUAAAAGCCUCAAGGAUAAAGCUGACCACAUGGACCAGGUAACAAAUGUGGCUCCCCACGUUAAUCCUCUUGGUAAAUAUACCUGAUGCAGCCUCCUGUGACCCGCCUUUGGUCAGUGUCACAUGAAACACCUGCUUCAAGCUGGCCAGUACGUGCAACUCCCUACAGGAGGCAGCGGCAAAUGCGUAAAGAAACCAGACACUUGGCUUACUCCCAGACCAAAUUACCUGGGACCUAUCAUGGUUACAGCGCGCCUCCAAAAACAUCCAGGCACCAAGGUCCCAAUCCGACUACCACAGCCCGGGAGCAAUCUUCAGCUCCCUCCCUGCAUCUUACUGGAUCUGGACAGUAACUGGGUAUUUAGCUUCAGGGGAUGUGGGCACACACAUAUAGGACCCCCAAUUUCAGGAUGCGAGAUCACAGAAUGUUGGGAAAAGGACCAAAGGACAGAGUGUCAAUUUAAGGAUACCCCCUUAGAACAAACGAACUAUUCUAUUUCCAGGGCCUCAGAUGGAUCAGUUGAGAUUCAUAACAUUUAUGAGGCCGCUAAUGGAUUGGGAGAGUAUAGGUGUGAAUGUGUGUGGGAGAGUUGGGCAGUUUUCAUUAACCUAACAGUGUCUGUAGAUGCGGGAUGGACGGAUGUUCCUCCUCUGCUGUGGGAACCUGGGAUGGAGGGACAUUAUUGUCAGGAACACUGUGUAUACUCAGUUAAAUGUUUACAUUGUACUGAUAUACGAUGUUAUAAGCUGACCACUUGUGGAUACUCCCCGCCUACUAUCUGUCCGGCACUGUACCCUAGCCCACCGGAGAGCAUUAUUCAAGUAGGCCCCAAAAAAACACUUUUGCAUGAUGCCCUUAUGGUCUCUGUUCAGGUUAAAUACGAUUUGUCCAAUUUUUUGGCACCCUUGCGAAAUGUGUGCUCAGACCACCCCAGCUCCCUGCAAUGGCUGCAGGACCAGCUACAGUUUCUAAUGCACCAGUAUGUUGUUCGGGCCUGCACAGCCAAAAGACAAAAACGUAGCAUCUUAAGUGAUAUUGGAGGAUUCUUUGGAAGCACCAAUUCUAUACUAAAUAUGCUUAACCUAAACUCUGAAAGGUCAUACAAUUCUUGGGUCAAAUGCCAAACCACCCAAGCCCUUAGACAUCCGAACACAGGUUUAUCCUAUGCUCUGACUGCAAUUGAUGUAGCAAUAGAGGAUUUUUACCAAAUCAUUGAAAAGACCUCAGACGCUAUAGUCAACCUGGCCAAGUCACAAGCUAAGGCCAUGCUUGUGAUAUACUAACUUGUGAUCUAUUUAAUAUUGCAAGAGAAGACAUGCUAGAUGUAUGCCUGCGUUUCCCCCCUUCCCAUACCCUUUCUUCCCCUACCCUUGCCUGCACUGCAAGGGUUUCCACUCAAUUGAUAGUGGCCUCUUUACUUCCUCCAGACUCAUCCUUCUCCUUUAAUUUCCUCCUUGCAUAUCCCUCUGUUAUUCCUACUCAUGUCUUUCCUUCUUCUUUCCGUUUCAAGUCUAUCGAUAUGUAACUAACAAUACGGUGUACAGAGUAGGACUGUCUGGAUAUCUGGCACCAUCCCCCCACAAUACCCCACUAAUGACAACAUCAGACUGCUGCACAGAGACGGAUAGCUAUAUUGUGUGUUCUACUCUCCAUCCUUUAACUCUGUCCACUUCUAUCCUUGUGGAUGUCCUUCCUCUUAUAGAUACUGAAGCUGCUGUGCAAGUAUCCACCACUCAGUGGUGUUUUAUCACUGCUGCAUCCAACUACAUGUACGGACCACUGCAGUGCCAGGCAAACGCUUCCAUGUGCCUGUAAAUUACUAACUUAUUUACCCUAGUUGAUGUGCACCUCCCCGGCCGUGUGUUCACUGGAAUGACAAUGGCUCCUUGGUGGUAUAACAACCUAUACCUGGACAACACACCAGUUCAACUGGCCAAGGAGCUACUACUCAGAGUGGUCCUGGCUGCUCCUUCUGCGUCUACCACUGUUCAUGACAGCACCACUAAAGGCCGCAUCAAAGUUCAACUCUCCAGUCAAACCAUCACUUGACUGGAAAAUCUUGUUCGUAACGCAGCCUACAACCCCCUCUCCUGGUAGACUGUUGUACAAAUAGCAUGUACUAUUGUACUGCCGCUGCUGCUUCUAUUUUUGUGUUACUAACCUCUAGUGUCAUGUGUGGAUAUUUCAGACAUAUGCUUAAAAAUCUCACUAUGCUUCCUAUCUCUGCCCCCUUCCCCCAACUCCCCUCUCCUACCUCCCUUAGGAAAUCCUAAGACCAAUUAUGUAUACCAAAGCAUUUAAGCAUUGACUACAUCUCAUCUAGGAGUUCGAUUUGUCAAACAGGAGGGAACUGUUAGGCAAGAGUUAAAAAAUUCAGUUAGCAGCUGAAACAAAAACCCACGUAACUAACAAGCAGGAACACCGGAAGCCCAGUCAAAUGUCCGUCCAGGAAGUGGGCUCUUAGAACAGAACAAACCCUCCCUUCACAGGGAUAUCUAUAAACACUCUGGAUAUCUGUAAACACUCACCCCCACCCCACCCCUUUGCCUUAAGGUAGUCAUGAAUAAUUGAUGUAAUCAAAACAGUUUGAUGCCUAUGUUCUGUUCCUGUCACUGUCAGGUUAAGUGUGUUCUUUGUCUCUGAAACAAUGUUUGUCUCUGUAAGAAUAAGAUAAAUACAAUUCAAUUGAUAAAAGAAAGGUAUAUAAUUGGUCACUGUAAUCCCACACCUUUGAAACUGUUUGUCAGUCUUCCUGGUUCUGUACAUAACCCCCCUUCAGUAUUUUC